rnacentral:rRNA from 1 species
CCUUGAAAUACCACCCUUUAAUGUUUGAUGUUCUAACGUUGACCCGUGAUCCGGGUUGCGGACAGUGUCUGGUGGGUAGUUUGACUGGGGCGGUCUCCUCCUAAAGAGUAACGGAGGAGCACGAAGGUUGGCUAAUCCUGGUCGGACAUCAGGAGGUUAGUGCAAUGGCAUAAGCCAGCUUGACUGCGAGCGUGACGGCGCGAGCAGGUGCGAAAGCAGGUCAUAGUGAUCCGGUGGUUCUGAAUGGAAGGGCCAUCGCUCAACGGAUAAAAGGUACUCCGGGGAUAACAGGCUGAUACCGCCCAAGAGUUCAUAUCGACGGCGGUGUUUGGCACCUCGAUGUCGGCUCAUCACAUCCUGGGGCUGAAGUAGGUCCCAAGGGUAUGGCUGUUCGCCAUUUAAAGUGGUACGCGAGCUGGGUUUAGAACGUCGUGAGACAGUUCGGUCCCUAUCUGCCG